UCCGCUGAGGAUGGCUUUUCCCCGGUGUAAUGAGCCGGGGGAAUAAGGAGAGGGCAAGACUGGUGUCAGCCGCCGCGGUAAUACCAGCUCUCCGAGUGGUAGGGAUGAUUAUUGGGCUUAAAGCGUCCGUAGCCGGCCUAGCAAGUCUCCUGUUAAAUUCAGCGACUUAAUCGUUGAGCCGCGGGAGAUACUACUAGGCUAGGAGGCGGGAGAGGCCGACAGUAUUCUCGGGGUAGGGGUGAAAUCCUAUAAUCCCGGGAGGACCACCAGUGGCGAAGGCUGUCGG
rnacentral:rRNA from 1 species